GACGAACGCUGGCGGCGUGCCUAAUACAUGCAAGUAGAACGCACAGUUUAUACCGUAGCUUGCUACACCAUAGACUGUGAGUUGCGAACGGGUGAGUAACGCGUAGGUAACCUGCCUGGUAGCGGGGGAUAACUAUUGGAAACGAUAGCUAAUACCGCAUAAUAUUUAUUAUUGCAUGAUAAUUGAUUGAAGGAUGCUAUUGCAUCACUACCAGAUGGACCUGCGUUGUAUUAGCUAGUAGGUGAGGUAACGGCUCACCUAGGCGACGAUACAUAGCCGACCUGAGAGGGUGAUCGGCCACACUGGGACUGAGACACGGCCCAGACGGCUACGGGAGGCAGCAGUAGGGAAUCGUCGGCAAUGGACGAAAGUCUGACCGAGCAACGCCGCGUGAGUGAAGAAGGUUUUCGGAUCGUAAAGCUCUGUUGUAAGAGAAGAACGGGUGUGAGAGUGGAAAGUUCACACUGUGACGGUAUCUUACCAGAAAGGGACGGCUAACUACGUG
rnacentral:rRNA from 1 species